UUUCCAGACUCCUACGGGAGGCAGCAGUGAGGAAUAUUGGGCAAUGGGCGCAAGCCUGACCCAGCAACGCCGCGUGAAGGAAGAAGGCUUUCGGGUUGUAAACUUCUUUUCUGAGGGACGAAGAAAGUGACGGUACCUCAGGAAUAAGCCACGGCUAACUACGUGCCAGCAGCCGCGGUAAUACGUAGGUGGCAAGCGUUGUCCGGAUUUACUGGGUGUAAAGGGCGUGUAGCCGGGCUGACAAGUCAGAGGUGAAAUCCGGGGGCUCAACCCCGGACCUGCAUUUGAAACUGUUGGUCUUGAGUAUCGGAGAGGCAGGCGGAAUUCCUAGUGUAGCGGUGAAAUGCGUAGAUAUUAGGAGGAACACCAGUGGCGAAGGCGGCCUGCUGGACGACAACUGACGGUGAGGCGCGAAAGCGUGGGGAGCAAACAGGAUUAGAGACCCCGUUAAAA
rnacentral:rRNA from 1 species